UACGUAGGGUGCAGGCGUUAAUCGGAAUUACUGGGCGUAAAGCGUGCGCAGGCGGCUCCUUAAGUCAGAUGUGAAAGCCCCGGGCUUAACCUGGGAACUGCGUUUGAAACUGGGGGGCUAGAGUGUGGAAGAGGGGGGGUGGAAUUCCAGGUGUAGCAGUGAAAUGCGUAGAGAUCUGGAGGAACACCGAUGGCGAAGGCAGCCCCCUGGGCUAACACUGACGCUCAUGCACGAAAGCGUGGGGAGCAAACAGG
rnacentral:rRNA from 1 species